rnacentral:lncRNA from 1 species
AACGGAUCCACAAUUGGCAUUUUUCGGUAACAGUUUUGACCUGUUUCUUCCAAAAGUAAAAUAAGAAAUCCGGAAGGAAUGAACUGAGGUUUGUGCUCCUCCGAGGAAGAAAUUGGGGUGAUAGUUACUCAUUACCUCAUCUUUAAAAAAUACUGUUUUGCUCUAGAAAUAGUUUUUUAUUCCAAAAACAACAACAAAAGGUGGAAGAGGGGCAUAAAUGGAAAAAUACGCUUACUGUUUGAGUCAAUGACAGGAUUAAUAAAAGUCUGAUUAAUAAGUAAACAGAAAUGGAAAAAUUGCUACAGUUUUUUUUAUAAUCCAUACUCCAGCCAUUUCUCUCUUUUUCUCCCCCAUCUCUCUCUUUUAAAUGCCUCCCACCUCCUAUCCCACUCCCCAGCUUUGGAAAGAAUGUCUUUUUAAAAAUCUUAAUGUUUUCUUUUUUUAAAUAGCUAUAGAAUAAACAGUGGCUGGAAGAUGAUAAACCAAAGAAGGAAAGAAACAAGUGAACUCAAAUCAAAGAAUUCACAUCAGCUUUUUUGAAAGCGGAAAACCAAAAAUGUCAAUUGCAAGCCUCAACCCCCUUCCUCUUUCCCAAACUGUUUUUCUUUUUGGUUUAUUUCUGCAUCAGAGUCUACCUAGGUUUCAAAACCAAUUUUCCAUUUUCCUAGAACCAGCCAAAUAUGGAGUGUGUGCAAAAACAUGGUAGCUUAAAAGAAGAAGAAGAAGAAGAAGAUAAUUAUCAAAGAAGGGGGAGGAAGGAAAGAGAAGGGAAAUAAAGAGAGAUGACACAGGGAACUGGACCAGAUAAAGACAAAGCAAUGCACUUAACCCACCUGGAGAGCACAUCGGACCAGCAAGGCGCUCUCAGCCAAUCGCCUGGGUCUGCGGCGGGGAGGACAGUCCGCAUGGGUUCAUUUGGCUGAGGAGUGUGUUUCAUAAACCUUACGGUGCAGCUAUGAAAGCUAUCAGGAUCUUCCCACGUUUCCUGUCAUUCCGAGGAGAUUGGCUGCUGGAGUGCUGGGUUGGGGGGGCGGUGGGGAGUGGAGGUUGUAGGGGAAGAGGAUGGUUGGGUUGUUGAGGGGAGACUGGCUCUGGUGGGAAGCGGAAUCACACAGGAAUUUAUUUUAAGUGCAUAAACAAAAUGAAAUGAGGAAAAAAAAAAACCCAGUGUAUUCCUUUUGGGUCAUGUGAGAGAGCCACUGGCAAAGAUGAGGGAGGAAAAAGAAAGGGAGAGAGAAAAAGAGAGAGAGGCAAAAAGCUUUCUAUGAUUCGGGACACUGGUGAAGCACACUGAGGCAGCUGGAAGAUUAAAUUAAGUAUUAUAUCUGCUGACCCUAUUGCCAUGGUUACCGGACAGCGGAAAAUAUUAAUCAACCCAAGCCUUUUCAGAUGAAUGUGCUUGAUAAACUACAAUAAAUAUAAAUAUAUAUGUAUAUCCUGCCUGCUCUGCUGUCUGAAUUCAGAACGUCAGUCAGUGCACCACCUGAUAGUGGAGAUAAACAAAUAAUAAUAACAAAAUGCUCACCUCCCUGAGAAAGCUUACGUCACUUACAAGAAGCAGGACAUGAACAGUGGGGCUGACCACUUGCUCACUUUCUCUUUAGCUGUUCUCUUUCCUCCUACCCUAUUCAGUGAUGACCCAUCCUGCCCGGUUUGAUUGCAAAGUAAAGGGGCAAUUCGUCUCCUUAUUCCUAAGAAAUCUGUCCAUUAACUACUUAGACAGUCACUCUUAGGCAAUGACUAAAGCUGAAACGCACUGGAGAUUUAAAAAAAAAAAAAAAA